rnacentral:lncRNA from 1 species
GUGAUGCAUACGUCGUCCUGCCUUCAUUUUUUUUUUUUCCCUCGCUUUCUUUUGCUGCGUGGCGCACUUCACUUACGGUGUCACGUGCGAGCGCUUACGUUUGUCUCGUUUCGCGCAGUGCAUGAUUUUGCAUGCUGUGCACAAGAUCACCUGAUUAGCGGUAUAAGUCAGUGCUGCACAAACACUGAGGCAGACGCAAGCGGAUCACAGAGCAUGACCGCAUGCUGGAACACCAUAGAAAAUUGGUGCUUUGACAGUAUCUACCUAUCUCUCUCUCUAGCCACCUACGUCUUGGCGCUCUCAUGGUCGUUUCGUUAACUUGGUACAUACCAAAAUUGGCAUAAUAUGACAUGAGUGUGUGACGAACAUAAAUGAUUGGCCAUGACGUCUGUGUCGUAUAGGUCAUGAAACAGCCACCUAUGUCUUGGUGCUCUCAUGGUCGUUUCAUUAACUUGGUAUGCUCCCCGCACACUGCUUUGCAUAAAAUCGAUUCCCACAGGGCUUGCUACCUGCCGGCUUUUUAUUUCUCUAAACUUUACUUCAUCUAUUGAAGCAACAGAUUACACAAAUAACAGAUGUUGCCGUGAAUAAUUCUCGAAAUCACGUGCCAUUAUGAGCAAUGUUGCAGCACUGCCAUGUACGUAGGCGCACUUGUGCCAUAUGCGUCAAUUCUCCGGCUGGGAGCGCGGUGCUCGCAAGAAGAAGGCCAAACGGCUUUCGGUUUGAAAUUUCAGUUCAUUGCACGGCACAUAGCAAUGUAAUACAUUGCAGACAAUCAUUAGUGCGCAUUGUAUUCUCGGUGCUUGUCAGCUCAAAAUGGUGAAGCCUGGUGAGGGGACCUUUAACAACCUUAAAUGUUUAAGGGUCAUGGCAUUGUAUAUCAUUAUGUAUGUUUUAUUUCAUUCAACUUAUUGCUGUUGCAAAUGUGCUUUGUGGCAGCUGAUGUGCAAGAAUUUCAAACUCAUGGCAUUAUAUGAAUAAAACUGAGCAUUCAUGUA